AUUGAACGCUGGCGGCAUGCCUUACACAUGCAAGUCGAACGGUAACAGGUCUUCGGAUGCUGACGAGUGGCGAACGGGUGAGUAAUGCAUCGGAACGUGCCCAGUAGUGGGGGAUAGCCCGGCGAAAGCCGGAUUAAUACCGCAUACGACCUGAGGGUGAAAGGGGGGGAUCGCAAGACCUCUCGCUAUUGGAGCGGCCGAUGUCAGAUUAGCUAGUUGGUGGGGUAAAGGCCUACCAAGGCAACGAUCUGUAGUUGGUCUGAGAGGACGACCAGCCACACCGGGACUGGGACACGGCCCAGACUCCUACGGGAGGCAGCAGUGGGGAAUUUUGGACAAUGGGCGCAAGCCUGAUCCUGCAAUGCCGCGUGCAGGAAGAAGGCCUUCGGGUUGUAAACUGCUUUUGUCAGGGAAGAAAUCUUCUGGGUUAAUACCCCGGGAGGAUGACGGUACCUGAAGAAUAAGCACCGGCUAACUACGUGCCAGCAGCCGCAGUAAAAC
rnacentral:rRNA from 1 species